GGUCUACGCCCCCGAAUCAACAAAGAAGCAAACUAACAGAUGUGGAUGUUUCAGUUUUCACGCCCUUAUAAAGCCGAUCCAUACUUAAGUCUGCCCAGAAGACAUAAAGGGCCUCCAUUGGAUGAUGAAAGACUCAAACCCUUCACCUCUCUGCGGUUAAUAAAGAAGUAUGCCGAGCGGUGUAAACUGGUCAAGUAACAAACCUCUCCCGUACCGUUUCCGUCCAGCCAGGAGACAACAUUCACUGAGGAACAAAAUGGAGGUCAACUUGACAGUCGGCCGAAGAAGUUCCCGAUUUUAUUGACAUUCUGCAUUCGCUCGGUACGAAACAGUGUAGCAGUCGUGACAAAUCGAAUGUUUAAUAAUGGACUUAUUCAUAGGAAAUGAUAAUGCAAGUACAGAACUGGUUUUGAUUCUUGAAAAACUUCGAGUUCAACGUUGUUUGUUGUGAUUUUAACUGGACGUCAGUUUUGACGAGCUGGAAACUGUGAACAUUUUUGGUGAAACUUAGAGCCCGUACAGGAAAGAAAAACGCUAGAAACGUGAACUAAAGUGAUAUUUGGAUCAGAUAUUCAUCCGGGCAUACACAAGAAAAGAUUGGUCUUGUUACAGAGACUAUUCUGAAUUUUUUUUUGUUCGAGUUCCGCUAUAUACCUUUACUACGUAUAUACACCUAUAGGACUAAAGAACGUUAAAAGGGAUUUAGCACCUGUGCACGAGGCGAUCAGAAAAUUCCAAAUUACUUGUUUUUAAUUCCAAUAUCUAAUUAUAUUUUCAUAAAUUCUAAAGUGAAAAAUUGUUUUUCAUCGAUUACAGUUUUGCGGAUUAGGAGCACUUCAAAUACGGUAAAAAGAUUUAACUUUUCAAUUUUUUAAAGAUUGCGUGAGCGCGCCUACCUUCUUCUUUAGCUUCCAGAUUGGGAAAGGAUGAAUAUCAGACUGUGCCACGCUUUUCUACGGAAAGUAGUUCUCAAUGUAUCCCGCCGCUA
rnacentral:lncRNA from 1 species